UACGAAGGGUGCUAGCGUUGUUCGGAAUCACUGGGCGUAAAGCGCGCGUAGGCGGCUUUGCAAGUCAGAGGUGAAAUCCCAAGGCUCAACCUUGGAACUGCCUUUGAAACUGCAAAGCUAGAGUGUCGGAGGGGAUGGCGGAAUUGCUAAUGUAGAGGUGAAAUUCGUAGAUAUUAGCAGGAACACCGGUGGCGAAGGCGGCCAUCUGGACGACAACUGACGCUGAGGCGCGAAAGCGUGGGGAUCAAACAGG
rnacentral:rRNA from 1 species